UAAUCUUUGAUGAGUCCAGCUCACUUUCUCCUUUCCCCUCUCACUAGAUUGGAUCUUGAUGCAGGUGCAUGUUGGUCCAAGCAUGGAGAAGGUUGAGCUAUCCUCAGAUCUGAAGUUCUUGAGCAAAGGGAUGUUUGGUUUAUACCAUGGUGAUAACCGAGAGAGGCAAUUGCUAAGUUGUGAUACUCUCAUACCUUUACUAGACGCGAGCAAUUCCGGAGAAGAAGAAGAAGUGGAAUUGGACAAGGAUUUUAUUUAUAUUGUUGGGAUUCUUAUAUUGAUGGAGUUGAAGAAGUACAGGGACAAAUAAGCCAAG